rnacentral:rRNA from 1 species
CCUACGGGCGGCAGCAGUGGGGAAUAUUGCACAAUGGGGGAAACCCUGAUCCAGCAACGCCGCGUGAGUGAUGACGGCCUUCGGGUUGUAAAGCUCUGUCUUCAGGGACGAUAAUGACGGUACCUGAGGAUGAAGCCACGGCUAACGACGUGCCAGCAGCCGCGGUAAUACGUAGGUGGCGAGCGUUGUCCGGAGUUACGGGGCGUAAAGUGAGCGUAGGCGGACUUUUAAGUGAGAUGUUAAAUACUCGGGUUAAACUUGAGAGCUGCAUUUUAAACUGGAAGUCUAGAGUGCAGGAGAGGAGAAUGGAAUUCCUAGUGUAGCGGUGAAAUGCGUAGAGAUGAGGAAGAACACCAAUGGCGAAGGCGAUUCUCUGGACUGUAACUGAUGCUGAGGCUCGAAAGCGUGGGGAGCAAACAGGAUUAGAUACCCUUGUAGUC